rnacentral:rRNA from 1 species
UCUUGAACGCACAUUGCGGCCAUGGGCUAGCUCAUGGCCACGCCUGUCCGAGGGUCGGCUUAUAAACUAUCACGACGCCCAAAAAGUCGUGGCUUGGGUCUUGCCAGCUGACGUGAUUUCCCUAUUGGUGCAAACUAACGGGGUGUCAGAUCUAUGGCGUUUCCCUAAUAAUUCCAGUUACAACUCCUUUUGGCUGAAGGCCAUAUUGGAGGGUGACUGUGGAGUCGUGGCUCAAUGGUAAUGUUUGCGCGCGCUCUGCAUUGUCACCACUGUAUCUGCUAAACGUGAAAUGCUUUCUGCAUUUUACCUGACCUCGGAUCAGACGUGAAUACCCGCUGAACUUAAGCAUAUCACUAAGCGGAGGAAAAGAAACUAACAAGGAUUCCCUCAGUAACGGCGAGUGAACAGGGAAAAGCCCAGCACCGAAGCCUGUGGCCAUUUGGUCAUUAGGCAAUGUGGUGUUUAGGUCGUUCCACAGAAGUUCUGCUCCAUCCUAAGUCCAUCAAUGAGUACGGUAGUACGGACAUGGCCCAU